rnacentral:rRNA from 1 species
UACGAAGGGAGCUAGCGUUGUUCGGAAUUACUGGGCGUAAAGGGCGCGUAGGCGGUACCAUAAGUCAGAUGUGAAAGCCCCCGGGCUUAACCUGGGAUGUGCAUUUGAGACUGUGGAACUAGAGAUCGAGAGAGGAAAGUGGAAUUACGAGUGUAGAGGUGAAAUUCGUAGAUAUUCGUAAGAACACCAGUGGCGAAGGCGGCGUUCUGGACUGCAACUGACACUGAUGAACGAAAGCCAGGGGAGCAAACGGG